GUGAGGGGCUGGGCGAAAGGAAGGAGGGGAGGGGAUGGGGGGGGCGCGCGCCCCAGGAGCGAAAGCAAACUGCUAGCUGCAGAGGCACUACCGCAGUUCAGGCUUCCCAACAGGUUAGCUAGCCUAGGAUCCACCCGGUAUUUCGCAGGAAGGGGGGGGGGGGGGGGGGGGGGGGGCGUUGAGAUAGCUAGAGGAGGGGAAGCCUUCCUGGAGGACAGAGGGAGGGAGAGAAAGAG
rnacentral:lncRNA from 1 species